rnacentral:rRNA from 1 species
AAUAUUGCACAAUGGGCGCAAGCCUGAUGCAGCCAUGCCGCGUGUAUGAAGAAGGCCUUCGGGUUGUAAAGUACUUUCAGCAGUGAGGAAGGUGGGUAUGUUAAUAGCAUAUUCAUUUGACGUUAGCUGCAGAAGAAGCACCGGCUAACUCCGUGCCAGCAGCCGCGGUAAUACGGAGGGUGCGAGCGUUAAUCGGAAUUACUGGGCGUAAAGCGCAUGCAGGUGGUUUGUUAAGUCAGAUGUGAAAGCCCGGGGCUCAACCUCGGAAUUGCAUUUGAAACUGGCAAACUAGAGUACUGUAGAGGGGGUAGAAUUUCAGGUGUAGCGGUGAAAUGCGUAGAGAUCUGAAGGAAUACCGGUGGCGAAGGCGGCCCCCUGGACAGAUACUGACACUCAGAUGCGAAAGCGUGGGGAGCAAACAGGAUUAUUUUACCCUGGUAG